AUUGAACGCUGGCGGCAGGCUUAACACAUGCAAGUCGAGCGGAGCGAGGGUGCUUGCACCUUAGCUUAGCGGCGGACGGGUGAGUAAUGCUUAGGAAUCUGCCUAUUAGUGGGGGACAACAUUCCGAAAGGAAUGCUAAUACCGCAUACGCCCUACGGGGGAAAGCAGGGGAUCUUCGGACCUUGCGCUAAUAGAUGAGCCUAAGUCGGAUUAGCUAGGUGGUGGGGUAAAGGCCUACCAAGGCGACGAUCUGUAGCGGGUCUGAGAGGAUGAUCCGCCACACUGGGACUGAGACACGGCCCAGACUCCUACGGGAGGCAGCAGUGGGGAAUAUUGGACAAUGGGCGGAAGCCUGAUCCAGCCAUGCCGCGUGUGUGUAGAAGGCCUUUUGGUUGUAAAGCACUUUAAGCGAGGAGGAGGCUACUUAGAUUAAUACUCUGGGAUAGUGGACGUUACUCGCAGAAUAAGCACCGGCUAACUCUGUGCCAGCCGCCGCGGUAA
rnacentral:rRNA from 1 species